rnacentral:rRNA from 1 species
GACUAACGCUGGCGGCGUGCCUAAUACAUGCAAGUCGAACGGGAUUCUUUGAUCAGCUUGCUGAGAGAAGGAUCUAGUGGCGGACGGGUGAGUAACGCGUGGGAAUCUGCCUCUUACUGGGGGAUAAACAGUGGGAAAACUACUGCUAAUACCGCAUAAGAUCUUCGGAUGAAAGGUGCAACUGCACCGGUAAGAGAUGAGCCCGCGUCCCAUUAGCUAGUUGGUGGGGUAACGGCCUACCAAGGCGAUGAUCAGUAGCCGGUCUGAGAGGGUGAACGGCCACAUUGGGACUGAGACACGGCCCAAACUCCUACGGGAGGCAGCAGUGGGGAAUAUUCCGCAAUGGACGAAAGUCUGACGGAGCAACGCCGCGUGAGUGAUGAAGGUUUUCGGACUGUAAAACUCUGUUGUUUAGGACGAAAGUGCCUGUUGCAAAUAGUUGCAGGUAUUGACGGUACUGAACGAGGAAGCCACGGCUAACUACGUG